rnacentral:rRNA from 1 species
UCGGGAAUUUUGGGCAAUGGGCGAAAGCCUGACCCAGCAACGCCGCGUGAGGGAUGAAGUAUUUCGGUAUGUAAACCUCGAAAGAAUGGGAAGAAUAAAUGACGGUACCAUUUAUAAGCUCCGGCUAACUACGUGCCAGCAGCCGCGGUAAUACGUAGGGAGCAAGCGUUGUUCGGAUUUACUGGGCGUAAAGGGCGCGUAGGCGGCGCGGUAAGUCACUUGUGAAAUCUCUGAGCUUAACUCAGAACGGCCAAGUGAUACUGCUGUGCUAGAGUGUGGAAGAGGCAACCGGAAUUCUUGGUGUAGCAGUGAAAUGCGUAGAUAUCAAGAGGAACACCUGAGGCGAAGGCGGGUUGCUGGGCCGACACUGACGCUGAUGCGCGAAAGCCGGGGGAGCAAACG